rnacentral:RNase_P_RNA from 1 species
CGAGUAAAUCGCCUUAUCGCUGUUUCAAUUUAUUUUGAAAGGGAGGAAAGUCCGAACACCAUAGUGCAUCAUAGUGGUUAAUGGCCACCGGCCGAGAGGUCAGGAAAAGUGCAACAGAAAGGAUGUACAGGUAAUGCUGUAGUGAAAUCAGGUAAACUCUAUGAGGUGCAAUGCCAUGUAUACCAACGCUUGAGGGCGGCACGUUCGAUUGUUGGAGGGUAGGCAGCUAAAGUGUACUGGUAACAGUACAUUCAGAUAAAUGAUAAGGGCUUUUAAUUUUAAAAGUACAGAAUUCGGCUUAUAGGUUUACUUAAGUA